GACGAACCGAGCGAACGUUGUUCGGAAUCACUGGGCUUAAAGGGCGCGUAGGCGGGCUGUCAAGUCUGGGGUGAAAUCCCACGGCUCAACCGUGGAACUGCCUUAGAUACUGACGGCCUCGAGGGAGAUAGGGGCGAGCGGAACUGUGAGUGGAGCGGUGAAAUGCGUUGAUAUUCACAGGAACUCCGGUGACGAAGGCGGCUCGCUGGAUCUUUCUGACGCUGAGGCGCGGAAAGCUAGGGGAGCAAACGGG
rnacentral:rRNA from 1 species